rnacentral:lncRNA from 1 species
UUUAAAAUAUUAAAGACAGAGUAACAAAGUUAAUUAUUGCUCAGUUGCUGGAAUUUUUUCGCUCGUCUGCCCAGAUACAGUGCAACGGUAUAAGCACUCAAGCGGUUUAUCUGUAAGUUAAUGAAUCUAAUACCUUCUCUGAUCUCUCUUUGUUACUUUGAGCUUACCUGGGGUUUACAUUAACUAUUCCCAUAAAUGACGUUUAAUUAUUUUGAAAAAUAUGAAAGGAGCAAAUGACACAAAUACUUUCCAAACUGUUCCCAGCCUGAAAAUGAUUUCAUUUUUGUAGUUCAGGGGAGAACUUUUUUGUAGUAGGGGAGAGCUCACUUUAAACUUAAAUAAUUAUUUAUGCACUCCAGGAAAUUAAAUAAAUAAAUAAAUAAAUAAAUAAAUAAAUAAAAGAGAGAGAAAGAAAAAACACUUAAAAUCAAACACAAAACACUAACUCAGUCAUUACACUGUAUUAAGAUUUGGGCACAGUCAGUAACCCUUGUUUAAACUUGAACUCCUCAUUUACUGCCUCAUAUUAAAAACAGGACUCUGAAGCACAAAUAAGGUAACACUAAGUGUCUGCAUUCAAAUCAAAUCAGUUCUGCCAUAUGGCAAUGUGUUGCCCAGCACCUUCAAACCCUUAAUGGGUUCUGUAAAGCUUGCUUAUAAAUUCCCCUUCCAUAUAGCUUGCCCUGGCUACGAAGGCAGCAUUACACCAGCUGCAGGUGUUUCUGUGUAGUCAAGGACCAGCAUGCUGUGGAGGUUUUUUGAUUGCAGGAGGUUUCUGAUCACAUCUAAAUGGGAUCAGCUUACGAAAACUACUACUGGAGAGCAAGAAGACCGUAUGUCCUAUGGCAACAGAAGGAUCUGAGUCCAGCCCUGCUGUUGUUUGGAGUGUGAUCCUGGCCAGCCAGAGCUAUAUGAGCUGCCAUCUCUUUUCUUUCCCCUGUACCAUCUUUUGGUUGUACCAAAGCAUUUCUGGUUGCUCUGUGAUAGAGGAAGGAGGAACAGAAUUAAAGGGAGACAGAAUAUGGAAAUAA